UCCCAUUCGAUCCACAUAAAUCAAUAUUUUCUUAUUUUAUUUUCGAAAUCCCCCAAGAACCCUAAGUCCUCCGUCGAUUCACAGUUCUGUUCACUGUCGUGGCACUCGCCGUAAGGCAAAGAAACCCAGAAAGAAAGACCUACAUUACACCAUUUUGUAGGUAGUGAGUUCUGGUGUGAGAACUCCUGAUCGAGCAAUCGCGAGAAAUGACCAUACAAUCCAGCGAUGGGCUACCUACACACAUCAAAGUGAUAGUGACAUUAUGUUAUGAAGGCCAGAUGUUCUUAACUCCUACAGCAAAAUACGUGAGGGAGCAAGAAGACAUUGUUUGACCCCACCAAGAUAAAUUGUCUUGAUAUAUCUUGUCUACUUAAGUAUGCAUCAAUUGUGGUGUUUCAAAAAAUAAUAGGCUGAAUUUUUAUGUUUUUAGAGAUGAGAGGUUUAGUUUAGUUGUAGAAGAUUAGAGUCUUAGGCAAGCAAUAAUAGAAAAGUUAACGGAAAAUGAUAGGGAAUUUGUAGUAUUUGUAAAUAUAAGGGAGGGGAUAAAUAGUGAUGAUGUCUCCGAGUCAGAUAGUGAUUAUAUUGAGUCAGAAUCCGAUGACUAUAAUGGUAUCAUGUUUGAUGAAUUUGUUGAGAUAGUAGAUGGGUUGGAAGUACAUGAAAAAGUUGUAGUUGAUGAAGUGUCUGAAUCUGAUAGUGAUUUCCUCAUGAGUUCACAGUCUGAUGAAAGUCAUGAUUUCUUGUUUGAUGAGUAUGUUGGCGACGUGUCCGAAGAGAGUAAUGAUGAGUUGGGAGGGGAGUAGGAAUUAGUUAGGAAAUGUGGAAUAGAGGUAAAAGGGGCAGGGCAAAGGGAUAAGCUGGGUGAAAUGGAGGAGGUUGAGUGUGAGGGUGACGCAGAAAACAAGUCCGAGGAGGAUAUGUUGGAGACGGAAAAUGAGCUUGAGCAUUUGAUGGAGCCGGACAAGGAGGGCAAAAAAGAGAAGUCAUUUCCUAGCUUCCAAGAAAUUGAUUUAUUUAAACAAAAAAUUGAAAUUGGUAUGGCUUUCUCGAGUAGGGAUAAGCUUAAGGACAAUGUGAACUCUUACGUUGUUGUGAACAUAAGGCAGGUUAAUUUCACAAAAGUGGACAAUAAAAGGUUGUACAAUGUUUGUGGAGACAAUAACUGCAAUUGGAAAAUUCAUGCAUGUGUGAUGGACGAUGACAUUGGUUUCGAAAUAUCUAUUUUUCAUGAUAAGCAUACUUGCGAAUAGAGGUUUAAGGUGUCCAGCAUGAAAAAAAAAAUGAUUAAGUGUGAAGUACGCGAAGAAAUUCAAGUCAGACCCAGAAAAUAGCAGUCAAAGAUUUUAGAGUCCAUGUAAUAAAUGAACUACUGGUAAAUAUAUCAAAGGAUAUAGCCUAUAGGACUAAGAAAAGGGCAUUGAAAAAAUUGGAAGGAGAUGCGACACAAAAACAUGGUUGGAAUUGGGAUUAUGCACAUGCAAUUAGGCAAACUAAUCCUCGAUCGACAAUGGUGCUAGGGGCAGAAGUGGAUAGUGAUGACUUUACUUAGCAGCUUGUAACAAAUGAAGGGCCCUCCAAAAAGAAUGCGCAUACGAACGUGGGUAGCCGACCAAGAUAGAGUGAACGUGUCCAAAGCAAGGAAAAUGCACCUCCCAAACUGCUGGGAAUACAGUACUGGACAAGAAGCCACUUUCGAGUAUCCGUGUAGAAUGACUUCAAUACAUGAAAGUACACCCGUAAGAAAUGUUUAUAAUUUUCCAAUGGGGAAGUUACAUUGUUGAUUUCUAUAUUUUAUACACUUUCGCAUAGUCAUCGCAAAUUGUUCUGCAAACGUACCGAGGGACAAUUCAAAUUGGUAACACAAGAGUCUACUGCCAACAUAGAUGGGAACAAUGUUGACAAACCUGUAACACGAAAAGGGAAGGGACUUUUAAUGUUGUCCUCAAGGCAAAGCGACACGCGAUGCAUUGCUCAGAUGAGAGAAACAAUCUAUUGAAAGUGGUCCAAAUCCAGCAAUGGUGGUGUAGUCUCCGAAGGGCAAGGCAAAAAGUUUUGGCGAGCAGCUCACAUCAAUAUAAACAAGACGAAGCACACAACACGGUAGCAAAGACUUGGUCAGAAAUAUUGAUAGCACAAAGACAAAACCACCAACAAUGUUUUAGCAGGUUGAAAUGUCCCGACCUCAACAGAUUAGAUGCUCCAAACUAUGAUGGUGUUCCUUUGUUUGAGCUUCCAGUGUAUGUCCAUCAACAACAAUUGACAUGGCUUGUUGAAGAGAAUAGGGAAUACAACAAGCGAUAUGGAAUAUGGAUGGGAGCAACGGCAAUGCGAUCAACCAAACAAAAUAAAUGAUGUGUGUUUCAAUUUGUGUGAUUGGGUGGGUACGUAAUUGUGGAUUGAAAUGAAUAGCGUUAAAUGUUGUUGGAUUGUGUGGUCCUCGUGUUUUUUGAUCGGGUGUGGUUUCACUCAAAUUAGGUUAGACUAGAUGCUUCAGUAUCGUAUCUAUUUAGAACAUGUUUUGUACUUGGUGUCCUAUUUUGUAACAUAUAUUAUUGACACUAAUGAGUCAUGUUACUUUCUUA